GCCACCGUGGUGUAGUGGUUUCAAUGUUGGACUAUGACUCUGCAGACCAGGGUUUGAAUCCCAGCUCAGCCA
rnacentral:tRNA from 1 species